ACAGUGAGCCUACGGGAGCAGCAGUGGGGAAUAUUGCACAAUGGGGGAAACCCUGAUGCAGCGACGCCGCGUGAAGGAAGAAGUAUCUCGGUAUGUAAACUUCUAUCAGCAGGGAAGAUAGUGACGGUACCUGACUAAGAAGCCCCGGCUAACUACGUGCC
rnacentral:rRNA from 1 species